UUAUGGAACUUUAAGUUUCAUGCCUAACGGCAAUCAUCAGCCAUAUAUUACAAAAUUUAAAAUAGACGUUAAAAUUACAAUUAAAAUUACGGUGGCGUGAGUUCUAAUGACUCCAUGGAAACAAAACUUUAAGUUUUAAGAGUAUCACGUGGUGUAAAAGUGACGUAAACCAAUCAGGAUCAAUCUGCGGUAUCAUAGGAGGAAAUAAGAAAUUUAUUUUUGUGCCUACACUUCGAGAUUAUUUCACUCCUUGUGUUAAGUAGGUUUUUACCUUUAUACAUUAGAAUUUGAAACUUCUCGUUCAACACGGUCGUUUGUAAGAGGAAAGUUAUUAUACGCAUGCGCAGUGGAAUUAUAUUUCUUGAAGGUUUUUUAAAAUGGCUACGGUAACAGGAUUAUACAAACUAAUCAUUGACAACGAUAUUUCAACCAUAUUCGCGUUUCAACAAAGAAACUUACCUGUUGUAAAGAAGGGAAAAGUAAACUAAAGCAGAAAGACUUUUUCUUGGAACUCGAUAUAAAUAUUUUUUGUGU